rnacentral:rRNA from 1 species
UACGUAGGGAGCAAGCGUUGUCCGGAAUCAUUGGGCGUAAAGCGCGCGUAGGUGGCCUCAUAAGUCCGCUGUGAAAGUCAAAGGCUCAACCUUUGAAAGCCGGUGGAUACUGUGAGGCUGGAGUACGGAAGAGGCGAGUGGAAUUCCUGGUGUAGCGGUGGAAUGCGCAGAUAUCAGGAGGAACACCAAUAGCGAAGGCAGCUCGCUGGGACGUUACUGACACUGAGGCGCGAAAGCGUGGGGAGCGAACAGG